ACGGGUGCGUAACGCGUGGGAAUCUGCCCCUUGGUUCGGAAUAACAGUUGGAAACGACUGCUAAUACCGGAUGAUGACGAAAGUCCAAAGAUUUAUCGCCAAGGGAUGAGCCCGCGUAGGAUUAGCUAGUUGGUGAGGUAAAGGCUCACCAAGGCAACGAUCCUUAGCUGGUCUGAGAGGAUGAUCAGCCACACUGGGACUGAGACACGGCCCAGACUCCUACGGGAGGCAGCAGUAGGGAAUAUUGGACAAUGGGCGAAAGCCUGAUCCAGCAAUGCCGCGUGAGUGAUGAAGGCCUUAGGGUUGUAAAGCUCUUUUACCCGAGAUGAUAAUGACAGUAUCGGGAGAAUAAGCCCCGGCUAACUCCGUGCCAGCAGCCGCGGUAAUACGGAGGGGGCUAGCGUUGUUCGGAAUUACUGGGCGUAAAGCGCACGUAGGCGGUUAUUCAAGUCAGAGGUGAAAGCCCAGUGCUCAACACUGGAACUGCCUUUGAAACUAGAUAGCUUGAAUCCAGGAGAGGUGAGUGGAAUUCCGAGUGUAGAGGUGAAAUUCGUAGA
rnacentral:rRNA from 7 species